UACGGGGGGGGGCAAGCGUUGUUCGGAAUUACUGGGCGUAAAGGGCUCGUAGGCGGCCAACUAAGUCAGACGUGAAAUCCCCAGGCUCAACCUGGGAACUGCGUCUGAUACUGGAUGGCUUGAAUCCGGGAGAGGGAUGCAGAAUUCCAGGUGUAGCGGUGAAAUGCGUAGAUAUCUGGAGGAAUACCGGUGGCGAAGGCGGCAUCCUGGACCGGCAUUGACGCUGAGGAGCGAAAGCUAGGGGAGCAACGGG
rnacentral:rRNA from 1 species